rnacentral:rRNA from 1 species
UACGUAGGGUGCGAGCGUUUAAUCGGAAUUACUGGGCGUAAAGCGUGCGCAGGCGGUUUUGUAAGCCGGAUGUGAAAUCCCCGGGCUUAACCUGGGAAUGGCAUUCGGGACUGCAAGGCUGGAGUGCGGCAGAGGAGACUGGAAUUCCUGGUGUAGCAGUGAAAUGCGUAGAUAUCGGGAGGAACACCAGUGGCGAAGGCGACUUCCUGGCCUGUUCUUGACGCUGAGGCGCGAAAGCUAGGGUAGCAAACGGGG